rnacentral:rRNA from 1 species
GACGAACGCUGGCGGCGUGCUUAACACAUGCAAGUCGAACGGUGAAGCUCCAGCUUGUUGGUGUGGAUCAGUGGCGAACGGGUGAGUAACACGUGAGCAACCGGCCCCUGACUCUGGAAUAAGCGCUGGAAACGGCGUCUAAUACUGGAUACGAGAAGGGUCCGCAUGGGCACUUUCUGGAAAGUUUUUCGGUUGGGGAUGGGCUCGCGGCCUAUCAGCUUGUUGGUGAGGUAAUGGCUCACCAAGGCGACGACGGGUAGCCGGCCUGAGAGGGCGACCGGCCACACUGGGACUGAGACACGGCCCAGACUCCUACGGGAGGCAGCAGUGGGGAAUAUUGCACAAUGGGCGAGAGCCUGAUGCAGCGACGCCGCGUGAGGGAUGACGGCCUUCGGGUUGUAAACCUCUUUCAGCAGGGAAGAAGCGAAAGUGACGGUACCUGAAGAAGAAGCACCGGCUAACUACGUG